CCUACGGGAGGCAGCAGUGGGGAAUAUUGCACAAUGGGGGGAACCCUGAUGCAGCGACGCCGCGUGGGUGAAGAAGCAUUUCGUUGUGUAAAGCUCUAUCAGCAGGGAAGAAAAUGACGGUACCUGAGUAAGAAGCCCCGGCUAACUACGUGCCAGCAGCCGCGGUAAUACGUAGGGGGCAAGCGUUAUCCGGAUUUACUGGGUGUAAAGGGGGCGUAGACGGCAGUGCAAGUCUGGAGUGAAAGGCGGGGGCUCAACCCCGGGACUGCUCUUGAAACUGUACGGCUGGAGUGCAGGAGGGGCAGGGGGAAUUCCUAGUGUAGCGGUGAAAUGCGUAGAUAUUAGGAGGAACACCAGUGGCGAAGGCGGCCUACUGGACUGUGACUGACGUUGAGGCUCGAAGGCGUGGGGAGCAAACAGGAUUAGAUACCCGAGUAGUC
rnacentral:rRNA from 1 species